rnacentral:rRNA from 1 species
UUGGAGGGCAAGUCUGGUGCCAGCAGCCGCGGUAAUUCCAGCUCCAAUAGCGUAUAUUAAAGUUGUUGCAGUUAAAAAGCUCGUAGUUGAAUUUCGGGAUUGACGUGAUGGUCAUGCCUUAAGGGGUAUGAACUGUUACAGUUGAUUUCUCACCUUCUGGAGAAACUUGAUGUCCUUUAUUGGGUGUCUUGCGGAUCCAGGACCUUUACCUUGAAAAAAUUAGAGUGUUUAAAGCAGGCAUUUUUGCUCGAAUACAUUAGCAUGGAAUAAUAGAAUAGGACGGCAUGGUUCUAUUUUGUUGGUUUCUAGGAUCACCGUAAUGAUUAAUAGGGAUAGUUGGGGGCAUUAGUAUUCAAUUGUCAGAGGUGAAAUUCUUGGAUUUAUUGAAGACUAACUACUGCGAAAGCAUUUGCCAAGGAUGUUUUCAUUAAUCAAGAACGAAAGUUAGGGGAUCGAAGACGAUCAGAUACCGUCGUAGUCUUAACCAUAAACUAUGCCGACUAGGAAUCAGACGAUGUUAAUUUUUUAAUGACUCGUUUGGCACCUUACGGGAAACCAAAGUGUUUGGGUUC